rnacentral:rRNA from 1 species
CAAUAGCGUAUAUUAAAGUUGUUGCGGUUAAAAAGCUCGUAGUUGGAUUUCUGCCGAGGACGACCGGUCCGCCCUCCGGGUGAGUAUCUGGCUCGGCCUGGGCAUCUUCUUGGAGAACGUAACUGCACUUGGCUGUGUGGUGCGGUAUUCAGGACUUUUACUUUGAGGAAAUUAGAGUGUUUCAAGCAGGCACACGCCUUGAAUACAUUAGCAUGGAAUAAUAAGAUAGGACCUCGGUUCUAUUUUGUUGGUUUCUAGAUCUGAGGUAAUGAUUAAUAGGGAUAGUUGGGGGCAUUCGUAUUUAACUGUCAGAGGUGAAAUUCUUAGAUUCGUUGAGGACCAACCACUGCGAAAGCAUUUGUCAAGGAUGUCUCCAUUAA